UACGUAGGGCGCAAGCGUUGUCCGGAAUUAUUGGGCGUAAAGAGCUCGUAGGCGGUUUGUCGCGUCUGCUGUGAAAACCUAAGGCUCAACCUUGGGCUUGCAGUGGGUACGGGCAGACUAGAGUGCGGUAGGGGUGACUGGAAUUCCUGGUGUAGCGGUGGAAUGCGCAGAUACCAGGAGGAACACCGAUGGCGAAGGCAGGUCACUGGGCCGCAACUGACGCUGAGGAGCGAAAGCAUGGGGAGCGAACAGG
rnacentral:rRNA from 1 species